rnacentral:lncRNA from 1 species
GCGUUGAAUGUGAGGGAAUCCCUUUUAUAGAAUAAGGGCUCGCUCCUCAAUACAUAAGUGAUGGGUUAGGAGUGAUGCUCGUGGCGAGGCGGUUGCUCAGCUGGCGGUGAUGCUCUCUAAUGAAGGUGAAGGAGUCCUUUUUAUAAAAUAAGGGUUCGCUCCUCAGUACAUGAAUAAUGGGUGCUCUCUAAUGAAAGUGAGGGAGUCCUUUUUAUAGAAUAAGGGUUCGCUCCUCAAUACAUAAAUAAUGGGUUAAAGCUAGUAUUUUUCAUGAGGCCUAGUUGAGGUCUAAUGUAUGGUACAUAAUGUAAUCCCCCAAGUCUUCGAUCAAUAGAGUAUGUUGGCUGGAAACUUCAAAUUGAAUCCAUAUAUGGGCCGAACUGGCGGUUGUUCGGAGACGGUAUUUGUAUACCCUGCACUGAAGCUUUGUAGGUGAAGUUUUGCAAGUGAAGCUUUGAAGCUGGAGCUUUUGUAAAUGAAGCUUUUGAAGCUGAAGCUUUCGAAGCUAGAGCUUUGUAAAUGAAGCUUUCGAAGCUGAUUGACAUGAGUGAUGCUCAUGAAUGUUUAUGUUGAUUGACAUGAGUGAUGUUCAUGGAUGUUGACAUGAGUGAUGCUCAUGAAUGUUGACAUGAAUGAUGUUCAUGAAUGUUUAUGUAUGAUUGACAUGAGUGACGCUCAUGAAUGUUUGACAUGAGUGAUGCUCAUGUAUAAUUUU